rnacentral:rRNA from 1 species
UCGAGCGAUGAAGUUCUUCGGAAAUGGAUUAGCGGCGAACGGGUGAGGAACACGUGAAGAAUCUGCCCUCCACUUUGGGGAUAACACCGGGAAACCGGUGCUAAUACCGAAUAUUGAAACAUAAGUGGCAUCACUGAGUUUUGAAAGAAUUUCGGUGGAGGGAUGACUUCGCGGCCUAUCAGCUAGUUGGUGAGGUAAUGGCUCACCAAGGGCAACGACGGGGUAGCCGGCCUGAGAGGGCGACCGGCCACACUGGGACUGAGACACGGCCCAGACUCU